UCGAUUGUUGUCUACAAUAAGAUGUAUAUACACAUUUUAAUUUGAUAGCACAAUAUACUUGCUACCAUGUUUGUUGGGGGAACACAAUUGAACAUAUAAAUCCGGAAGAACUGCUAGCUAGGACCAAAGCCUCCACGUCGGCUUUAAAUCGCUAUUGCCACCGCCUACAAAUUCUGUGCCCCGCCAAGGGCAUUUUAGUCUUUUCACCUUUGGGUAUAAAAAGCAGCCCGCCCGUGGAGAAACCCUAGCCGCGCCCUCCGCCCGCACUCAAGCCCCGCACUCGCGCCUCCGCCCGCACUCUCUGCUCUCUUCCCCGAUCCCCUCCCACGAACCCUAGCAUCCUGGUGCCGCCACCCAUUCCUUCCCCCGUCCCUCCCCCACCCCUCCCCCGCGCCCGAGCCCCUCCCUCCACUUCGUCGCCACCGCUGUCUCUCCUCUUCCUCCCCGCUCUAGCCCCUCCAGGUCGUCGCUCGCGGUGGUUCCAGAUCCUGCGCUGGUCGUCCCCAUGGGUAAGGAGGGGAGGUUGGGUCUUCAAGGUUGGCGGAGGUGCAGGGGAGACCGGCAGCGUGGGGAGGAGCAGUGAGCCAGGAGCCAGGGAGAGGCCAAUGUCGGGGACAAGAAACAGCGGGGCCAGCCGUCCAUCGCGGUGGUUUGGAGGGAGAGGGAGUGGGAGGAGGUCGGCCACGAGAGAAGGAGCAGGCCGGCCCUGCUUCGUCAUGGAGGAUGUCCAGCUUCUCGUCCUCCUCCGCCUCUUCUCCAAGCGUCCAUCCUAUCGCAUCUCAGCUUCAGAAUUGGGUGCGUAUGAACAGUGCAACGGAGGUUAUGUUAAUUCCUAGAAUCUUAUAUGUUCUUUUGUCUCCUGGUGAUUACUUCGAAUGGCUGUGUGAGGUAAUAGAGCUAAUACCUUUUGUUUCUUCAUCACUAUAAACCGUGUCUGAUUUUAAAACUGAGAGCCAUAAAAUAUAUGCAUUAAUCUCUCUUGAUAUUUUCCCAUACGACCAACAUUAAUCUAUGUUGAUGUGUUCUAUGCCAAUUCAUUGCCGAUGGAGUGCCAACAUUAAUCGUAUAUGAAAUUUAGUUCUAACUUGCAAAAAUGUUCUGAUUACUGUUUGUGUGUGUGUGGCUACACAUCUGUGCCGUUCCAGCUGCUCUGUUCUUACUUUGAACACCGAGUUGAGCAGUGGAUCACGCGGGAAAAAAAUCAAACCGCUUCAAAUAAAGAAAUACUCUUCUGAAACUAUGCUCCUCUUAGGACAGACACACCUCCUGUGCAUAUGGUUGCAGGUUGUAUCCAUGCCAAGAUAGCACCUUGUAUGCAUAAGAUGGACCCCCUGUGUUUGCUCGAGUGUAUUGUACACCAAAAUCAUGAGAGCUCCACACAUAAAUUUUGCCCGGACUUACUAUGUUCGUGUAAGCAUUUGAAAUUCUUGAUGCAUUUGAGACGGUGGAAACGAGAGAAGCUGGGAGCGUAGCACUGACCGUGACUGUGAUUGCUAGAGCUCUAAGAGAUAGACGGAGGUCUCAACUGGCUGGGAAGAUUUGACAAGAGAUGUGGAGAUGGGGCACGGGGAGGGGAGGGCGAGUCGGCCUGGAGGCCCCGGUUGUGGCUUCGACUAGGCAGGCCUGGGACUCGCGGUGGCGGGCGGCCUCGCGCUGGAGCUGGUCCUGGCGGGCGGCCUCGGCCUCGUCCACACGGACUUCUCCUGGUUGUCGAACCGGUCGAGGGUCAUCCAACUUCUUGUUUAUCAGGCUACCGUUUGAUAAAAUGUUUCCUGACGUCCGGACCGGUCAUACUUUUGCAAGGUUAGAUGUGUUCUUAUUGAUGCACUUCAUUGCUUCUUGCUACAUGCUCUGUUUGCUUUGUUUCGUGGCCUACCACUUGUUCUUGUCUGGUGAGAUUAUGGUGCGCCUUGUCUUUUUCUAAUGCUGUCAGCCUUUGUCUCCUUAUUAGCCUGUUAAAUUAUGUAUAUGGGUUCACGUGUAAGCAAGCUGAGUGGGUUAUGCAGGCUACUUUGUAAAAUGUGCAUGCAUAACCGCCUGUAAAGGGGUCCAGUAUAUCAUACAAAGAGCAGCAACAAAUGCUUAUUAUGUUCCAUUAAAGCAGAUUAGAAGAUUGUUUAGUUUGGGUAAUUUUAUUAAUUGUUUUUUUUUCUCCUAACUGACCGAACUGGCUUUAUCCAAAAAGAAAACGAGCAGACUUCAUUAGCUUAGAGAAGAGAAUUUUUUUAAACGCUGUGGUUAUGGAGUUGUGCUCGGUUUGCUUCUUUUGGUCAUUCUUGAUAUAAGCAAUUGGGUAGCGUUGCUGUUUACUCAUAUAAGGAAUGGAUUGCUAGGAAUGAGUUUAUCAGAGCCUACUGGAAUGCACGCCCUCUGUCCCUGUUUUUGUCUCUGUAGCUAAACUUGAGAAUUGUACACUUUGGUAUAUAAAGUUAGUUGCUGAGUUUACAUGCAGUUAUGAAAGUUAGAGCACAUACAUGCUUUAUUUUACUUCCUUUAAUACAGGGCAUUCCAUAAUUACUAAGAACUGAUUUGUUGAAGUGUGCCUCCCUAAUUU